rnacentral:lncRNA from 1 species
CCAACGCCUCAGCCUGCAGCCAAAGACCCAGGCAGUUGGGACCCAGGAAGCUGGAUAGGUGUCUCCUCCAUGUCUCAGUCACAGGGAUGGAAUGCCCAAGAGGGUGAAUUUGGCGGUUCCUGGUGCUUUGUGGGUCUCAGUAUUGCCCUGCACACCUUCCCCACGUGACUGACAGGGAUGCAGUGAACAGCUAAAGAUGAAAUUCACCGGACCUGCGCUAUCAAUGUGACUACUGUCAAAAGUAUUAUUACAGCUUUCUCAUGCAAAAUACAGUAUACCACCACUCCCACCCCAGACACACCCGCCCUGCCCCUGGCACAGUGUUCCAGGUAAGGAAUGCCCACGUGAGAAUCCUGUCUUUGGACGCUUUCCUAUGGUACAGUUUAAUGUACACGUGCCACGUGGACCAUCACAGCCAUAAGUGUGUGACUCCAUACCAAGGACCGCAUGUCACUCAGCACAGGUGACCACAUACCCAAGCAGUGUGUCCUCUGGAAGAUAAAGACAGUUAAAGAGACUUUCAGGAAACACAUGCUGGGUUUCUCUUUCGUGAGAGAUUUACAAAACAGCAUGAAGAAACUGGCACUCACUCUUCCUCACAGCAGGAGCUGGAACUACAGAUGCAGACCACCACCUCCAUCGUUUUUACAUGAGUUCCUGGUAUCCGGCUGACACAGCAAAUGCUUUUUACCCACUGAGCCAUCACCCUGCCCACCAGCCACCUCUUAAGGUUCUCAGUGUGAUUGCUCAGUGCUGGCCAGGGUGACAGGCCCUGGUGCAAACAGCUGUACAAAUAGUGAGAGACUCUAUGGAGAAUGUGACAGUGCCCGAGCUCUUCCCUUGACCGAAGAUCCAGGUGACACAAGCUUUGUCCCUGUGGAUGCAGAUGAAAGUAUGCAGAAGAGCUGAGUGAAUCUACCACUUAGGAAUCCUAGGUGAGGAUGACCUCCAACAUCUAUCUGUGUGUGAGAUGCCCAUCGUAACAAAACUGGAAAAACUCUCAGGCCAACAUAUAAAAGGAGGGAUGGUGAUGACACUGUUUACUAGGGCCUGGGAGCCUGGGAUACAGACAUAGAAUGCUUGCCUAGUGGGAUGAGACCUUGGAUUCAAUCCUAGUACCACCACAACCACCCCCAAAAAAUAGGGGGGAAAAAGACAAUAAUUAGAUAGAGCACUUGGG